UUUUAUACCCGCCGGGGGGGGAUGAGAACCCCCGACCGGGGUUCGACAACUGGCGCAGCCAGUUGGACAGACCGUGAGCCCGCGAGCGAGCUGCCCCGCAGGGGCGAGCGAAGCGAGUCAAUCCCCCCCUCACCGCCA
rnacentral:sRNA from 1 species